CCAUGAAGGAACUUCAGUGGCCAGCUUCUGGCCAAAUAUAACUCAUCUCUGAGGGCAGUCUAAUUGGUUAUUGAGGCAGAACUGAAGACUCAUGGGACCAUUUAAAAGAAGAUAAUUUCUCACUGGUGUUUUCUUGGCCACGGCUUUCCUGGUGACAAGAUGUAAUUCCAUGACCUUGUGAGUUUUGAGAAAUCUGGCUGUUUGCAAGUGAUGGUGGCAGUUAUCAGAGCAGUUGGGGUUGUAGGAGCAGGCUGACAACAAGGGAAGCUUCGGCAUGAGAAAGUGGACAUCACCAGAGGGGAUGCCAAGUAUGGUCUAUUUUGCCUGAAGACCUGUACUGGGAAUCGUUUAAUCUUUUAAAAUGCCACCUACAUAAACUAAGACUCUGAAGAUGGAUGACUCAUUUCAGAAAGCAACAGACUACGGAAGAUCGUCAAGGGAGACCUUUAAAUCCUUGUUUAUUAGGUUAUGGAAUUCUCUGUGGAUUGGUGUUUUAGAAGUCUGAGGAAAGCCAAAGACUGAAAAGCCACUGUGGAGAUUGAACAUGGGGAAAUAUUUUCUGAUCUAUAUAUAAAGAGUUCUAUCGUCCCUACAUGCAGCAAGAACAGGCACCUAAAAUUACAAGUAAAGUACAAUACUAAAGGUAAUAACAUCAUCAAAAGAUCCUUAAAGUUCA